CAGAGACCUCAAGCGUUAUCCGGAAUCAUUGGGCGUAAAGCGUACCGAUAGGUGGUUUAGAAAGUCAGAUGUGAAAUUCCAAGGCUCAACCUUGGGACUGUCAUUUGAAACUUCUAAACUAGAGGGGCAAAGAGGAAGCUGGAACGAACGGUGUAGUAGUGAAAUGCGUUGAUAUCGUUCGGAACACCGAUAGCGAAGGCAGGCUUCUGGGUGCCACCUGACACUGCUAGGACGAAAGCGUGGGGAGCGAAUGGGAUUAGAUACCCCAGUAGUCCACGCUGUAAACGAUGUACAUUAGGUGCUAGGGAGUAUCGACCCUCUUUAGUACCAAAGCUAACGCGUUAAAUGUACCGCCUGGGGAGUACGGCCGCAAGGCUA
rnacentral:rRNA from 1 species